rnacentral:snRNA from 1 species
GAGUGUUACGGCUCUUUUAGAAUUCGUCUAGCACAUUUUCCGGUCCACACUGGAAAGCCCCC